GAUGAAGAACGUAGCGAAAUGCGAUAAGUAAUGUGAAUUGCAGAAUUCAGUGAAUCAUCGAAUCUUUGAACGCACAUUGCGCCCGUCAGUAUUCUGGCGGGCAUGCCUGUUCGAGCGUCAUUACGCCCCUCAAGUCCCCUGUGGACUUGGUGUUGGGGAUCGGCGAGGCUGGUUUUCCAGCACAGCCGUCCCUUAAAUUAAUUGGCGGUCUCGCCGUGGCCCUCCUCUGCGCAGUAGUAAAACACUCGCAACAGGAGCCCGGCGCGGUCCACUGCCGUAAAACCCCCAACUUUUUAUAGUUGACCUCGAAUCAGGUAGGACUACUCGCUGAACUUAAGCAUAUCAAUAAGCGGAGGA
rnacentral:misc_RNA from 1 species